rnacentral:rRNA from 1 species
CUAUGCCUACGGGGGGCAGCAGUGGGGAAUAUUGGGCAAUGGGCGCAAGCCUGACCCAGCGACGCCGCGUGGGCGAAGAAGUAUUUCGGUAUGUAAAGCCCUAUCAGCAGGGAAGAAGAAAUGACGGUACCUGAGUAAGAAGCACCGGCUAAAUACGUGCCAGCAGCCGCGGUAAUACGUAUGGUGCAAGCGUUAUCCGGAUUUACUGGGUGUAAAGGGAGCGCAGGCGGCACGGCAAGCCUGAUGUGAAAGCCCGCGGCCCAACCGCGGGACUGCAUUGGGAACUACCGGGCUGGAGUGCCGGG